GACGAACGCUGGCGGCGCGCUUAACACAUGCAAGUCGAACGGAAAGGCCUGCUUUCCCUUGUGGAUUGCGGGUACUCGAGUGGCGAACGGGUGAGUAACACGUGAGUGAUCUGCCCCCAACUUGGGUAUAAGCCUGGGAAACUGGGUCUAAUUCCCGAUAGGACUGCAGGGUGGUGCCUGUGGUGGAAAACGAUUUUCUAGUGGUUGGGGAUGAGCUCGCGGCCUAUCAGCUUGUUGGUGGGGUAAUGGCCUACCAAGGCGGCGACGGGUAGCCGGCCUGAGAGGGUGGACGGCCACAUUGGGACUGAGAUACGGCCCAGACUCCUACGGGAGGCAGCAGUGGGGAAUAUUGCACAAUGGGCGGAAGCCUGAGGCAGCGACGCCGCGUGGGGGAUGACGGCCUUCGGGUGGUAAACUCCUUUCGACCGCGAGGAAGCCACCUGGUUGGAAGGGUGGUGACGGCAGUGGUAGAAGAAGCACCGGCUAACUACGUG
rnacentral:rRNA from 1 species